UGAAGGAAGCUAGUAGUAAUGCAGUCCACUGUUCAAUAAGAAAGUUGUGCUUCGGCGACUGGUUAGCAAUCAGGCGCAACAUAGGGGAAGAAGGGCAAUAGAGGUAUUGAAAAGACUGGCUCACCGUAGAGUAAUGUACCAUUCUUAGUCGGUUCAAGUUCAUGGCUAUAUAUGUUCAUCCACAAAUAAU